rnacentral:rRNA from 1 species
GGUCAUGGAUGGGGAUGCGUCUGAUUAGCUUGUUGGCGGGGUAACGGCCCACCAAGGCGACGAUCAGUAGGGGUUCUGAGAGGAAGGUCCCCCACAUUGGAACUGAGACACGGUCCAAACUCCUACGGGAGGCAGCAGUGAGGAAUAUUGGUCAAUGGACGAGAGUCUGAACCAGCCAAGUAGCGUGAAGGAUGACUGCCCUAUGGGUUGUAAACUUCUUUUAUACGGGAAUAAAGUGGCUCACGUGUGGGUUUUUGUAUGUACCGUAUGAAUAAGGACCGGCUAAUUCCGUGCCAGCAGCCGCGGUAAUACGGAAGGUCCGGGCGUUAUCCGGAUUUAUUGGGUUUAAAGGGAGCGUAGGCCGCCGAUUAAGCGUGUUGUGAAAUGCCGCAGCUCAACUGUGGCACUGCAGCGCGAACUGGUUGGCUUGAGUGCGCGGAAGGCAGGCGGAAUUUGUGGUGUAGCGGUGAAAUGCUUAGAUAUCACGAAGGACCCCGAUUGCGAAGGCAGCCUGCCGCAGCGUAACUGACGCUGAAGCUCGAAAGUGCGGGUAUCGAACAGGAUUAGAUACCCUGGUAGUCCGCACGGUAAACGAUGGAUGCCGGGUGUUCCGGUUUUGAAUUGGAGUGGCCAAGCGAAAGCGUUAAGCAUCCCACCUGGGGAGUACGCCGGCAACGGU